UGGGGAAUAUUGCACAAUGGGCGAAAGCCUGAUGCAGCAACGCCGCGUGAGCGAUGAAGGCCUUUGGGUCGUAAAGCUCUGUCCUUGGGGAAGAAAAAAAUGACGGUACCCUUGGAGGAAGCCCCGGCUAACUACGUGCCAGCAGCCGCGGUAAUACGUAGGGGGCAAGCGUUAUCCGGAAUUAUUGGGCGUAAAGAGUGCGUAGGUGGUUUUGUAAGCGCGGGGUGAAAGGCAAUGGCUCAACUAUUGUAAGCCCUGCGAACUGUGAGACUUGAGUGCAGGAGAGGAAAGCGGAAUUCCUAGUGUAGCGGUGAAAUGCGUAGAUAUUAGGAGGAACACCAGUGGCGAAGGCUGCUUUCUGGACUGUAACUGACACUGAGGCACGAAAGCGUGGGGAGCAAACA
rnacentral:rRNA from 1 species